GUUGAGUAAAAUGAGUUGGAUCAAGAAAUAAUAAAAAUCAAUGUUUGCAGAUAAAGGGUUAGCAUUUUUUUAUUAUUUUUGACUCAGGUAUCAACUACGUCAAUUGUACCCUGUACGUCAAUAAAUUCUACAAUAAACAACUACUUUGUGACAAGUACUGUACCCACAUGACAAAAUUGGCUUAUGUAACACAGGUAUCACAUAAAGGCAGCAAUUUUGAAAUUAUGAAAGACAAUUUUAGAUAAAAUCAACAUGACGCUAAAGACAAUAUAAAAACCAUGUCGCAUCCUGAAGUUACACAGAAUCACAUUCAGCCUCAAGACGUACAAUAAUAUUUUAACAAUGCCACUGAAAAUAAGACUUUUCCUUGCUCUAGCAUUGGUGUACUAUGUAGAGUGCUUUUAUAUUGCUGAUGAUGGAAAACUUCCACCUAUAAAUAGGUAUUUUUUAUUUCUUAUUUUAUGAUGUUAACUUUACCUUAAUAUGGUAAUUAAAAUAUAUUUCGUCAAAUUUAUUUUUAUAUAAAUAUUAUUUUCCUUGUAAAGGUUUACGAAGAAGUAGAGGGAUUCGGUCCUGCUAGUGUAACCAGGAACAUAGACUACAUAAGGUCAGCUGGAGUACAACGAGACCAAUCUGUGAUUGUAGUCCCUAACCAAGGUACUAGGCAACCUUACGGGUACAGUACCUAUGGUAGUAAUACGAAUCGAGGGCAAACUGUUGUCGUUGUUAAGCCAGAUCAAUACAAUCGUGGAGUACUCACCGACCCUUAUAUCCAAGUCUAAUGCGAACUUAUUAUUUGUGAAUAAAUAAAACCC